CAAGUACUCCCUCCGUCCGGAAUUACUUGUCAUCAAAAUGGAUGUGUCUAGAACUAAAAUACAUCUAGAUACAUCCAUUUCAAUGACAAGUAUUUUCGAACGGAUGGAGUACAAG
rnacentral:pre_miRNA from 1 species